GGCUUUUGCUCUUCUCGUCAGAGUGAGCUUGAAGUGUUCAGCAAAGAUACAGACGUGUGCUAUAAUGUCGGGCGCCAUCCCAUCCACUGAGGCAAUUUGCAAGGACAUGCAGAGUUGAGGACCAGUAAGGAUCAUCUUGCUUGGAAUUAUGAAAGAUGAAAAUAUAGUCGGUCCACAUUGAAAGAGUGACGCGGAAUUGUUGCUAUGUAGAGAAAUACUUCUAGCCGAGAGUCUAUUGAAAAUUACAGCCGACAGGGGACCUGGCUUUUAGACAAAAACAGGAUCUUAUCUACAAGGUAUGUAAAAAGUUGA